AAAUUACAGUGCCCAACUCUGGACUGCCCACUCUGAAUCCCUGAAGUGAGAUGAAUGGCUACCAAAGCUAGGGCCUGCUAAGCGGUGGCACCUCAGAUACAGAACUCCUUCCCUGUAUCAGUUUGCCUGGCAACAGAUAUGGGAACCAUUAGGCACCAGCUGGAAGAAAAAGUUCAUUUAAAUUGACUUUUAGUGGUUCUCAGUGAACCAAUGACUUUUUAUGUUCUGCUGGAAGCCACUCAGAGUGGCUGGGGAAACCCAGUCAAAUAGGUGGAGUAUAAGUAUUAUUAUUAUUAUUAUUAUUAUUAUUAUUAUUAUUAGGUGUGAAUGAUUCUGUUGCUACUGAAAAAAAUAUGCUACUGCUUCAUUUUGCUUCAUUUAUUCUUCUUGACUUUAAACAUGUGCUGCAAAGCACCUUGGUAAUUCUGUACUAAAAGAAAACCUUGUAAAGAAACAAAAAGAGGUUUUUACCAUUUGUCUGCUUUACAAUUUUACCCUCAUGGUGGCUUGACAUACACCAAAAAUUCAAAUUCCCCAAUUCAAUUUUUUUUACUUUAACAUAUGAAUUGCAAACAGGAAAAUAUGAAAUAGGAGCAGUUAAUUCAGGAGUCUAAUGGGGAGACACAUCGAUUUAUCACUGAGAGGAAGUCUAACUAUAACUAGGGGCUGUGACGGUGUGUCACACUUCACAGUGUGAAGAUCAGGGGUUGUAUUCAAAGGAGCACGGAGGAGAUUGUUCCUUCAGUACAGUGGAUUAUUCCAGAUGGAAUAUACUCUCACUUUUUUGUCUGCGUGCUAUUCUGGAGGUUCUCCCAGGCUUCCAAAGCAGAUUUAGAGAAGCCAUGUGGGGCAUGCAUAAUAAUAAUAAUAAUAAUAAUAAUAAUAAUUUUAUUAUUUAUACCCCACCCAUCUGGCUGGAUUCCCCCACGCAGAGGGAGAGUCCCAUUGCUCUACUGGGAAUCAUUCUCAAGGGAGAGAAGACUUGUCAGUUGCUUUAAAUGUGGAGGAGGCUAACAUUCUCCUUUCCCUUCCUCCCCCACAACAAACACUCUGUGAGGUGAGUGGGGCUGAGAGACUUCAGAGAAGUGUGACUAGCCCAAAGUCACCCAGCAGCUGCAUGUGGAGGAGCGGAGACGCGAACCCGGUUCACCAGAUUACGAGUCUACUGCUCUUAACCACUACACCACACUGGCUCUGGUGGUGAUGGUAUCCCGCUUCAGAAAAUAUUAAUGGGUCUUUGACCCUCUGCAACCCAGGACCACUACAUAUCUGCUUUUAUAUUCCAGUUUUGAACCAGCAGCCACCCUCAGUAGUCCCUAAUAUGCCUGGAGCAAACCUGAAGCAGGGUUCUGUCUUCAUGAAGACAAGUCACUCUUCCAAUUGGAAACUGGGAGGUGAUGAUGAAAUGCCUUUUAAAUGAUCUGUCAUCCUGCUCAUGGCUGCUUUCCUUUUAACAUCGAUUUUUCCUUCCUUGAGCCCAAGCACUUGAUAGUUUAUGCCUGCUGCCAGUAAGAAUAAACUACCACCCACUUUGUUCAUGACAGCCGAAAUCAACAUUAAGUGCAAAGGGGCUGAAUAUGGGAUAACAGAUCCCUUUCAAGGCUCCUUUACUUUAUUUCCAGGCUGCUGCUGCUGGAGCAAUUGGAACUAAUUGACAUCCUUGUUGGCAGCCUAUGGGCCGAACACAGAAGGGAAGGAUGAAAUAGGCAUGAAAUCCGAACAAAGUGCCCAUUGGAAAUAGAGCCUUUCCAGCCAGAGUUAAAUCUCACUGAUGGGGCAAUGGGGAGAAGCCACUUACUCUUCCUGCUAAUCCCUAUAAUUCUCAUUUAUACAGUAAGUUAGUUCCUACACACACACUCAAACCUUCUAUAACCUCUAUUGAGACAAGUAAAGGGGUAUUAUCAGAGUUCAAGGACUCAUUCCAUCCAGGCUAAAACAUGAAAGGAGGGUGUGAAGCACAGCCAAUGAGGGGUGUGGCCUGUGAAAGGGGGUGUGGCCUGCAGAGAGUCCUGAGAGUCAGAGUGAGAAGCUUGGAGGCCUGCAUUUGCCUUUCACUGGGAGCUUAGGCUUCCCAUUCCUGGUGUACAGAGAUGUGAGAAAAGAAGACGCCAUGGUACAAAGCUGUAGAUGUGAGGAAAGAAGUUGCUACAGCACAGAGCUAUAGUACUCCCAUGCUUUCCUUUCUCCUUCGAACAGGAGUUUGAUUCCUUUUGAAUCACUGUCAGAUGUGCACCUAACCCAACCCAUUGGUCAUUCCAGCAGAAAGCAAGUUGUG